CCUACGGGUGGCUGCAGUGGGGAAUAUUGGACAAUGGGCGAAAGCCUGAUCCAGCCAUGCCGCGUGUGUGAAGAAGGCCUUCGGGUUGUAAAGCACUUUCAGUGGGGAAGAAAGCCUUGGGGCUAAUACCCUCGAGGAAGGACAUCACCCACAGAAGAAGCACCGGCUAACUCCGUGCCAGCAGCCGCGGUAAUACGGAGGGUGCGAGCGUUAAUCGGAAUUACUGGGCGUAAAGCGCGCGUAGGCGGUCUGAUAAGCCGGUUGUGAAAGCCCCGGGCUCAACCUGGGAACGGCAUCCGGAACUGUCAGGCUAGAGUGCAGGAGAGGAAGGUAGAAUUCCCGGUGUAGCGGUGAAAUGCGUAGAGAUCGGGAGGAAUACCAGUGGCGAAGGCGGCCUUCUGGACUGAAACUGACGCUGAGGUGCGAAAGCGUGGGUAGCAAACAGGAUUAGAUACCCUAGUAGUC
rnacentral:rRNA from 1 species